rnacentral:rRNA from 1 species
AGGCAGCAGUGGGGAAUAUUGGACAAUGGGCGAAAGCCUGAUCCAGCAAUGCCGCGUGAGUGAUGAAGGCCUUAGGGUUGUAAAGCUCUUUUACCAGGGAUGAUAAUGACAGUACCUGGAGAAUAAGCUCCGGCUAACUCC